rnacentral:rRNA from 1 species
UACGUAGGGUGCGAGCGUUAAUCGGAAUUACUGGGCGUAAAGGGUGCGCAGGCGGUUCUGCAAGUCAGGCGUGAAAGCCCCGGGCUUAACCUGGGAAUGGCGCUUGAAACUACAGGACUGGAGUAUGGCAGAGGGAGGUGGAAUUCCACGUGUAGCGGUGAAAUGCGUAGAUAUCGUGAGGAACACCAGAGGCGAAGGCGGCUACCUGGACAAUUGCUGACGCUCAGGCACGAAAGCGUGGGGAGCAAAAGGG